UUACCCGGCUGCAGCAGUGAUGAGGAAGGCCGGUGGGGGAGGGGGAACCCUCACUGACCACCCACCCCGCGGCCUACAGCAAGCCCCCCCCAUCGCCAAAGGGGCUAAAGAUGUAUACAGCAGUGCCCUUGGUUGCCUGUGGUGAAGGAGAAGGAGAAGGAGGAGAAGGAGAAGGAGAAGAAGGAGAAGGAGAAGAAGGAGAAGGAGAAGAUCCGAUCAAUGUGACACAAAUGUCUGGCACAGAAAUGUUUAUCGACAUACUAGUAAUACAACAUCAGGAGAAUUGUGGGGAAAACAAAGAUGGCAUCCACUAGCACAGCCAUGGAGAAGAGUUCUGGUCCAUGGGCCCAAUCGUACCCAGCAGGGAGAGACUUGGUGUCAGCCAUGGAGCUUGCCAGGGUACAGGACCCGGACAGCUGCCCAAGGAUGCAACGUGGUAAGGCUGGACUUGCUUUCUUUCCUUGUUCCUAUAUCAACAAAUGGCUGCCAUUUGCCUUCAUGUGGAAAAGUGAAAUGUAGCACAUGGGGACACACAUCACUGUGUUGAAGGCCCACUGCCUGUUCUGGCCAUUUCUAAUUACUUUGUUCCCAGUAACACACUGCUGAAGAGGUUUACACUUGUCAUAAAUCUGUCUGUAAAGCCUAAUUUGAAGCAACUGUUAUUCUAAUUUUGUUUCUAAGUCUUUUAGAAAGGAAGGCACAACUCCCUAAUGUUUCAGCAUUUCCUGAAGCUGAACUUUAACUGGUUGACUUUGAGAGUGUGUGUGUGUUUGUGUGUGUGAAUCAUUCACCACUUGUUCUGCAAUAGGCCCAUUAGGUUGAAUGGGAUUACUCCAGUGUAGUUAAUCACCAAAUAGCCCCAUGUGAGUGUUAGUAUUCUAUUGAAGUAGAAUAUUAUGUGUGAGUGUUCGUAUUAAAAUAUUGGCAUGCAAGUCCCUGAGAAGAAAAAGCAGAAGAUGGAUAAAUAACUUCUGCUGCCAAAAGAGAGAAGGAGCUUCAAGUAGCUGUUACCAAGGCAGACUGAGAGAGAAAAAUUACCUACCUGGGAUUUUAACCUUAAUUAUUUAGGAGGUGUGUUUCCCCCACAGCUGCCUUAAAUGAUUCACAGUACAAAUCAAUUCACAUCUAUCUCACAGGGAUGACUCCAAGGGGCAGCAAGCACAGCAGCAGGUGCUUCCCCCAAAAUAUUUCCUGCUUCCUCUUUCACUCCUCCAUCCACCUGACUGGAACUUUACCGUAAAAUAUCAUACAUUACAGCCAUAGUAUAUUGUGGCCCUAUAGCAUGAAUUACUUAUUUUUAAAGGCCUCUGUUGUUUAAAGAAGCCUCACUCACCCACUCCUCUACCCCAGAACAAGCAACAGAAGCCAGUGCAGCCAGCCAGGUAGGUAGGAGACUCCUCCAGCCUCCCAGGAGCCAGGCCAACCCCCUAGCUUCCUUCCUGGUCAGGAACUGGGCUACGUGAGGCCAGGUGUGCCUGGAGAUGCAGGGUUAUCUCCCCUGCAGAUUUCAACUGGCUUGUUACUGAUCUCCCCCACAUACCCCAUCCUGCCACUAUAGCCCCCUUCAGAUGUAAUAUGGAAGCAUGGGCCCAAUGGAGCCACGGUUUCACACCCAUCCUCCCCCUGCUCUCCCGUCCACUUUUGGAUGUGCAGGAGAGCUGCCUCCCUGCAGUCAGUGGUAGCUGGCUGUGCGGGCUUCCUUCUUGACAGAAGGACAGCCCGCAAAGCCAAUCAGUGAGGGAGGAGCUUCCUCCCUCAACUCCAGCUCCGUGGGGCGAAACAAGAUUCAGAAUGGAGUUUGGGGAGCAAAAUCGCUGGUCCCUUCUUGCCUUCAACUCUGGUUUCCCAAUUUUGGACAUGCAUCCAAGGAUGUCUGUUGUGAGGAUGGUCUCAUUCAGGAAGAGAAAACUAACCUCGAAAGCAGUUUGGCCUAACCCCCAAAUAAAGUAUUUUCAAAGAGGAUUCUGGUCCAUUUUCUGAAUAUGUUUGAAAAUGUCAAGCAAGCUUCAUUAAUAAGGUAAAUACAUUAACAGCAUCACUUACCUUAUCUCUGUAAGUAUUUAAUAUAUUGCAAAAUCCUCUCUCCCCUAAUAACAUCCUUUGCCACCCCUUUGCUCCCCCAAACUAGGUGUUCUACAGGUGCUUCCUAGUAUCCCAAGCCAUCUCUCUUGAAACACCCUUUCUCUUAAAGUGUCUGUUUUCAAAACAGGAAAACUACUUAGGAGGUGGUCAAGCUUUCCUUGCACAAUGCAUAACUGUCUAAUGGAACUGAUUGCUAUAUAUGAUGUAAUGUGAUGACAAAAAGAGAAGGGGCCACAGGUUAAUAGUAGAGGAUAUGCUUUUAUUUGCAUUCAGAAAGUCUCUGGUUCAGGACCUGGCACCUCUAUUUAAAAGGAUCUCAGGCAACAGGGCUUUGCGAAAUCUCCGGCUGAAAACCAUGGAGAGAUGUUGCCAUAUUGCAGCUAGAUGGACCAAUAGGUAUGACUCGCUGUAAACCAGUAUACUAUUCUAAUAGAUCAUGGAUUUGUUCCAAGACAGAUAUUACUGGUUCUUAGCUGUGAGGAGCUGGAGGAACAUCAUUAAGGUGGUUCUCCAUUUUAAUGGUUUGUUUUUAAUCUGUUUUAAUGGGUUCUGCUUUAAUUUCUGUUCAAAAUGGUUUGUUUGGGGUUUGUAAACUGCCUAGAGAUGUCUGAUUAGGUGGCAAUAUAGGAAUGUUAAUAAAAUAAUAAUUAUAAUAAUUAUAAAUUAAGGCACAAGUUUCUGUGGCCUCCAGUAUGUUAGAGCUAGUACACAAUCAAUCAUCAGAACCUCCUUGCUAACUUUAGUGCUAACAAUCUUCCUUCUUUAAAACCCACCUGCAUAGUUCCAUGGAGAUAUAGUUAUUACUGGCUUCCCCUGAUCCCCUCCACCCCCGCACCCCGUAAAUUCCCUAUUAAAAAAAAGCAGUGACUUUCUGAUGUUGCAUUUGAAAGAGCAUUGUUGGUUUCUAUCUAGUUAUCUGUUAUGUUUUGUUGUUAAGAAGUUUGUCCCAGUGGGGAUCCUAUAGAGAAUGUGUGGGGUGGAGUCAGAAAGAAAAGGGAGAGAAAUUUUUUAGAUUGUGAGCCCUUUGGGGACAGGGAUCCAUCUUAUUUAUUUAUUAUUUCUCUGUGUAAACUGCCCUGAGCCAUUUUUUGAAGGGCGGUAUAGAAAUCAAAUAAAUAAAUAAAUAAAUAAAUAAAAUAAAAGAGGAGGAUAAAAAACAAGUAGU